CAGGCCUGCCACACACACCGAUGUCAGAUACAGUAUGUCAUACUUAUUAUGGAAAAUUGACUUUUUUAAUAUUUGCCUGCCCACCCAACAAAUUGAACAACCAACUCCCACUAUGGUUUACAAUUGCUUACAGAUUCCGCAAGAAGUGCCAAAGCACUAUUUUAAGCUCUUCCCCUGAUUUGAGUAUAGUUCCCUUGCAACAAGCUGCCAUAAGAUGGCACUAAAGCACUACUUUUACACUACAGAGGGAUUUGGUGGUAAAGCUUUGGCUAUCUGGCUAUUUCUGAAAUCUGUCAGCGAAUGAGCUGUUCUGAAUUUUGCAAAUGAUGUCGUCAGAAUUGUGCUAACUUACAUAAAAUCGUCCUCACAGAGAGUUUCUCCGACCAUGACUUGGCAAGCAUGGAAAUACUAUCAUAUCAAAGCCAACAGACGAGUAGAAAAUGAGCAAGUGGCGGUGGCUCACCUUCAGCGUGGUAAACAUGAGUCCCAGCUCUCCAUGCUGAACAUUGGGAUCCAUCAAGUCUUCUAUCAGACUCACUUCAGCACCCAGGUUUCUGAUUCUGAACAAGAGCACAGUUGUAUGAUGACUUAAAGAGUUCCCGUGACCAAACUUGUAACUCGAUUACUUGUGUAUUUAAAAUCCCUUUUCCCCAUUGAAAUGAAUUCAAAUGCCAUUGCUCAGUUCCAGGCUCCUAAAAAACACCCACAAUUGUUGUUACAUGUUUUAAUAAAGCAAAGUAGCACUGUACGGUGGUGCCUUGACUUACAACAUUUUCAUGAUACAAGCCGUCACUUGAUUUUUUUUUUUGUCUCGUGAUACGAGCAAAAAUUGUACGCUUCGGACCCGACCACUAGAAGGCGGUAGAAACUUUAAAAUCCAGCAACCAUCAUUGGUUUCCUUGGAAAGGAAGGACAAUACCAGGGGGUGGCGCUAUCGCACCAUUAGGCUGGUUUGCCAACUGGCAAAAGCACCCACGGAAGAAAAACAACACAAGGUACAGUCGCAUUAUAAGGAUUUCCACAUAUUUUCUAGGCAGGACACACCCCACUGCAACAUGAUUGGCUCGUACGUCACGAGAAGGGCAGGCUACACAGACGUAACGAGAUGACCAUCCCAAACAUGUUUCACAUCAGUAGGAAAUCAAAACAAAGAAGUUUUUUAUAGUUAGGGUUGGGUCUUAAAGCAGUUUAGGGUGGGUUAAGGUAAGAUUAGGGUGGGUUAGCCAGCACACUUAUAGUCACAUACUUCACUUUCCAUCUGGAAGAAGUAGGGUGUGUUCUACAGGGAUACAACAGCCAUUUUCUUUCAAUAUGAAAUGAUAAUAGGAGUGUUUUGAGAUAUGAGCCUGGUCACGGAAUAGUAAACUCGUAUCGCAAGCCACUGCUGUAUUGUAAAAUCUAAAUGUUUAAAAAUAAAGAGAAUCUAAUGAAAUCAA